UACUCCUCCCUCAUAUCAUAUACGCACACAAACAUCAGCCCCUCCCACAACUCCCAUCUCAGACGCCGCUCCUCCUCCUCCUCCAACCAUUUUUCCGGUGACCUCCCUCUUCUCUUUCGACCAGAUGGAAACUAAUGAUGGUCGACAACAAUGGACGGAUGAGGCUGUUAAAUGCUUAUUAGAAACAUGUCUUGAAGAAAUAGGGAGGAUAGGUAGAAAUGGACAAAGCUUGUGCAGGGAGUCUUGGGUUAUAGUAGGGAAGAAACUCAAGGAACAAUUUCACAUGGAUUUGACUCAAAAGCAAAUUAGAAAUGCUUUUGAUAUUAUGAAAUCAAAAUAUGUAGGAUGGUGCUAUUUGAGAAACAAGACUGGAAAUCUAUACAACCCAGAAACAAAUAUGUUCACUUUAACGCCUCAAGAAUGGGAAGAUUUUAAGAAGGUGUCUAUUUGUUUAGGUUUCCAGUAUUAUGUCACAUGUUAAAGUGAAAACUAUUUAUUAUAGUCCCUAUUAAUUUGGCAAAUUGAAGCUGUUUUUGAUA